rnacentral:rRNA from 1 species
UACGAAGGGGGCUAGCGUUGUUCGGAAUUACUGGGCGUAAAGCGCGCGUAGGCGGUGAUCUUUGUCAGAGGUGAAAUCCCGAGGCUCAACUUCGGAAUUGCCUUUGAAACGGGAUCGCUUGAGUCCGAGAGAGGAUGGCGGAAUUCCUAGUGUAGAGGUGAAAUUCGUAGAUAUUAGGAAGAACACCGGUGGCGAAGGCGGCCAUCUGGCUCGGUACUCGACGCCCAGGCGCC